GCCCAUCUUUAAUAGCUAACAAGAACUCUUUCUUUUCUUUACAAAUCCCAAAACCUUUACUAGACUUUUUCUGCUUCUUUAGCUUACUUCACCUAGAGUCUUCUACCUUUUCUUAUCAAUGAAUCAACCCCUUUUUUUUUCUUUUAAACACAUCCCAACCCAAAGUAUAAGCGCCCACCUAGUCCUAUCUAGUCUGAAAAAUGCGAACUAGAAGUACAUGAGACACUAUCUCUGUCGUUACGAACCUAACACUUUCUACCAAGCUUAAUCGGAAUAAGACCUCACAAACACUCACAAGUGAUAUAGGGCUCGAAAUAAAGUCUAGGUUUGGGUUUGGGUUAACUGCUCUAAUAAGGAGAGUCAACUACUUGGAUUAACAAGAGUGAUCAAAAUGAAUAAGAAAAUCCAAGUAUUUUAGGGUAUCCAUUCAAAUUUGAUGCAGAUAUGAUAAUUAAAGAUCAGAUUCAGGUUCAAAUUGAUAGGAAUGGUAUCAGAUGAUGACAGUGUGGUCGAGUAGAGCAAUCUAGGUAUGGUUCAGUUUUUUUUUUUCAAAUUCAUUGACUAUGCAACAGACAACUACCAACGAGGGCACUGAGUUUAUCUGGUGAAUCAAAAUGCUUACAAGGCUAUCUCAUCAUCAUCCCUUAUGCAUAUGCAACAGUCCUAAAUGAAACACUCAAGACUCGAUCCUAAAUGUAAUGCAACUACAUGAACACUCUUUUUUUGUGAAAUCAUUUUCUGAAAUUUUUC
rnacentral:sRNA from 1 species